rnacentral:rRNA from 1 species
UACGAAGGGGGCUAGCGUUGCUCGGAAUCACUGGGCGUAAAGCGCACGUAGGCGGCUUUCUAAGUCAGGGGUGAAAUCCUGGAGCUCAACUCCAGAACUGCCUUUGAUACUGGAGAGCUUGGGUCCGGAAGAGGUGAGUGGAACUCCGAGUGUAGAGGUGAAAUUCGUAGAUAUUCGGAAGAACACCAGUGGCGAAGGCGGCUCACUGGUCCGGUACUGACGCUGAUGUGCGAAAGCGUGGGGAGCAAACAGG